UACGAAGGGGGCUAGCGUUGCUCGGAAUCACUGGGCGUAAAGCGCACGUAGGCGGCUUCUUAAGUCAGGGGUGAAAUCCUGGAGCUCAACUCCAGAACUGCCUUUGAUACUGAGGAGCUUGAGUCCGGGAGAGGUGAGUGGAACUGCGAGUGUAGAGGUGAAAUUCGUAGAUAUUCGCAAGAACACCAGUGGCGAAGGCGGCUCACUGGCCCGGUACUGACGCUGAGGAGCGAAAGCCAGGGGAGCAAACGGG
rnacentral:rRNA from 1 species